CGAACGGGUGAGUAACGCGUGAGGAACCUGCCUCAAAGAGGGGGACAACAGUUGGAAACGACUGCUAAUACCGCAUAAGCCCACGGGUCGGCAUCGAUCUGAGGGAAAAGGAGUGAUCCGCUUUGAGAUGGCCUCGCGUCCGAUUAGCUAGUUGGUGAGGUAAUGGCCCACCAAGGCGACGAUCGGUAGCCGGACUGAGAGGUUGAACGGCCACAUUGGGACUGAGACACGGCCCAG
rnacentral:rRNA from 1 species